rnacentral:rRNA from 1 species
UACGUAGGGAGCAAGCGUUGUCCGGAUUUAUUGGGCGUAAAGAGCUCGUAGGCGGCUUAGAAAGUCAGGUGUGAAACCUCCAGCUCAACCUGGAGACGCCACUUGAUACUUCUAUGGCUUGAGUUCGGUAGGGGACCAUGGAAUUCCUGGUGUAGCGGUGAAAUGCGCAGAUAUCAGGAGGAACACCGAUGGCGAAGGCAGUGGUCUGGGCCGAUACUGACGCUGAGGAGCGAAAGCGUGGGGAGCGAACAGG